CAGUCGCCGCGGUAAUACGAAGGGUGCAAGCGUUAAUCGGAAUUACUGGGCGUAAAGCGUGCGUAGGCGGUUUGUUAAGUCUGCUGUGAAAUCCCCGGGCUCAACCUGGGAAUGGCAGUGGAUACUGGCAAGCUAGAGUGUGUCAGAGGAUGGUGGAAUUCCCGGUGUAGCGGUGAAAUGCGUAGAGAUCGGGAGGAACAUCAGUGGCGAAGGCGGCCAUCUGGGACAACACUGACGCUGGGGCACGAAAGCGUGGGGAGCAAACAGGAUUAGAUACCCCAGUAGUCCCUGUCUCUUAUAA
rnacentral:rRNA from 1 species